rnacentral:tRNA from 5 species
GCGGGAGUUGCCCAGCCUGGCCAAAGGCGCUAGGUUCAGAGCCUAGUCUCGUAGGAGUUCAUGCGUUCGAAUCGCAUCUCCCGCACCA